rnacentral:lncRNA from 1 species
CCUGCAAGGUAAUUUCACAUAUGCAUCCUGGCCAAAUUAUCUUCAUUACGUUAUUGAACAUGUGCAGGAGGAGUUGAAAGACCGUCUUGGCCCUGGGAAAACUGGUGCCUCAAGUGGAGAAGGAAACGAGGCAGCAAAGAAUAAGAGACUCCAGACACAACUUUUCGAGGAAGAAUAUUCUUGCUCCUCUCAAAGAUAUUAUUGGGUUCACUGGCUCUACGCAACCCCAAAUACGGAAAAUCUGUACUUCUUGGCACAUGCUGUCCAGGGCAUAGCAGAUGAGGACAAAGUCUUUAAGUGUCUGCAGCUUUUCCAGAAAGACGGGCAUGGUGAAUUCUUGGUACAAUGCUCAGAAAUCAAGGGCACAAUAAAUACCACUCAAGUGAGUGAUUUUUUUUUCAUUUGAUUCAUUUUGCUAAAGUACUUGGACCUUUUGUAUAGAUUAGUUAACUACGAAGCCAUGCAGUAUGGAGCACCAUCAUUUGGAGCAAAGUUAAAUUCUUUGUAAUAGAUGAACUCUUGUUACUCCAAGUUUCAAGCACUAGCCUAUAAUCGUCUUUUGAAAGUAAGAUUACAUUCUGUGUGUUUUAUAUUUAGGGGAAAAAAUGAGGUGUACAUGUAGAAUGAAGUCCCAAUUUAUCCUUUAAUCAUGAAUAAUAACAGAAACCUGAUUUUUUUUUGUCUGCCUUAUUAUUUCAUUUCAACAGACAAAAUGAAUGUGGUAUUCUGGAGAAAGGUGGAGUAACUACAUUGUAAACCCCUUCAAACACAAAGAGAGAACAAAAGAACAAGGCAAGGCAUGGAGAAAGGGAUUAUGAACCUUAAAAAGCACAAGUUAUAGAUGUUGCAUGGUUGCCAUCUGUUAUCUCAUGCUGUUGUUUCAACAUACGGAACUACAUGUAACUAUAGAGAAAAAAAAACAUUUUUAUUUAAUAACGGACUUCAACGCUAUAACACUGACUGGUCAGAUGUACGAUUCACUCGUGUAUCUACUAAGGAUGAGAGGAAUGACACGGUACUCCCAUGGCAGUGUGGCUAUGGGUCAGAGGCCUUGAAUUUCUUGGUGCAUCAAUAGAGAAUCAAUUUUCAGGGAUCGAUCAAACCCCCUUGAUAUCUACAAUGACGACGAAAUGUUUAAGAAGUAUUGUUUCAGAAGGGAUGGAAUUCUCGCGAUUAUAGCAAGAUUGGAAGAUGCCAUUCGUUCAAACUCUAAUCGGAACAAGACGAUACCACCUGCCCUGCAGGUAUUUAUUGCCUUGCGAUUUUUUGCCACCGGGUCGGUGCUCGAUAGCAGUGCCACAAUACAUGGGGUCAGCAGAUCGACGGCCGUGUGAUCCAUCGUGUGGCGGGGGCUCUCUGCAACAUUAAGCAUGAGGUAAGACUCGAAGUCAUCGUUGCUCUUUUGUUAUGGGUCGGUUGAAACUGUCGCACGGUCGGCUGGAAGCUUCUCAGCGGCGCUCGCUUCUACCUUUGCCGGAGGAUGAGCGGUAAUUUGCGCAGUCUUUCCCGUUCACUUUAAUUGACCGAGUAACGAUAACCGUGGCUCUCAGCCGAAAUAUCGCACUGAAUUAGGUAAUUAAAGACUAAAAAGUCAGUAAGAAAGACAGAUGCAACUCAAGACAGUCGCAACGCCGCUCAUUCGAGCUCCAUCCCACACACAUCAACACUACUGCUGUGUACUACCCCGAAGCUCCCGGAUAGCGACCACUUGCUAUGAGGUCUUUCUAUGAAAACACAGUACAAUUUCCAAACAAGAAAGACAUAUCAAGUAAGAAAUAAUGGAGGUUCUUCUAAUGCAGGGAUCAAGAGACAUGAGAUUGAGACAACCGGGCCUACCACCAGAUCUGCUAAUGAUAUGGGAGACAUUUCAAACAUCAUUUGAAAAGCUAGUGCUAGACUGCUAUCCAAUACAGCCUUUCCAGCUGGCUUUGCCAUCAUCAAAUGCGAGGUACAGUUUGGGGAUGGGAGUAAAGCCAUCGUAUAUGAACUGAACUCCUUCAUAAUCACUUGACCCAUUUUUGAGGCGAUUGCAGAAGAAAAUCAUGUAGCAUGUGGUAUGGCAAUGCUCGACUCAAUAGAACAUAACCAAUAGGUAAUGCAGGAGGCAGAAAAGUGAGUGCACGCAAACGGAUGAUGAAGGAGACAUAGAGUGUGUAACUUAUGCUUCCAUUGCAGGGACAGAUUCAGCGUUUUCAAAUGUAGAUUCAAAACGCCGAUCGUAAACGUAAUUCUGGGAGUGCUGGGAGUUACAAUUAAUCGCUUAAGUCGAUACCUCUCGAACUUUGUCUUAACUACUGGAGUGGAGCUGGAAGUAGGGCUGUGCGGUAUUGAAAGAGUUAGUGCUAGGUUUUCACAAGCUUCCAUUGUCUGGAGAUUUUGGUCAUUUAUAAAAAGGUAGUUUAAGUCUAUUUCACUCCUGGGUGACAGUCAAUCAGGGAUACUGCGUGUAGGUGUUAGUCGCCUGGGAGUGAAACGGUUAAACUGGAGAGAAUUUUGCCAGUCCCUCUCUUCUCGCGAGAGGGCACUUUACCUUAAAGCUGCAUUGCGGGUUUUCACCUAGCUUAAAGUGACAUUUGGUCACACAGCCCCCUCCCCAGCUCGAUACUCCUGGAUCGAGGAAAUUACUUUGGUCUGGCAAAAUAUUUUCCAUAACAUUACAUCUGACCUUUUAAUUAUACGACUAUAAGGUUACAACGGGUGCAUGUACGCUAAGAUAAAAUAUUGGUACAACAUGUAUUCUAAACUACGACCAACUAAUCAAUUCACGACCAAAAAAAACUUGCUACGAGAAAUUAAAUGACUACUCACUAUAAAACGAUGUCUAUCCUAAUAUGUGUAUUAUACAAUAAUAUGGUCGGCUUCUUUCUCAUAAAAUUCAAGACUAAAAACGCACAAACUAAAAAAAACAUUGUAGUUUGAUCGAUACCCUGUACUUCUAAAUAUAAUAUCCGUACUACAUUUCAAUGAUACAACUCACUACUACAUACAGAGACUCGCCCUAUUAAGGGCAGGAAAUCAGACCACUAGGUAGAAUGCAGUAGAAAGAAUAGACCGGUAGGAAAGACAUGAGAAAGGACGGAAGAAUAGGCUGCUUCAAGAUAGACUGAGGAGAAAUUAAAGAAUGAUAGGAAAGAUUAUUUGAAACGAAUAGGGUACGGGAAAUGAUGGCGAGGCAGACACAGCAGCUCGACCUGAGGACAAAGGACCGACGCCACUGCCACAGCGUAGAGGAGCUUGAUCAAAAUAUGAGCUUAGGAGAGAUGUUAGGCGGCCAAGCUACUCAUUCUAUGCCUAGCACCUAAUCCAAGGACACAAGACAGAAAAUUUACUUCGAGUUCUACCCUGAACUGUGAUCACGUCACAAAAUUAGUGCACUUGAGAGUCUGUACCCGGUGACGGGGAUACAGUGUGGUUUUGUGUGAAAACAGUCCUUGGCGAAACUCACCCAAAUCAUACGAUGCCAACUAUAAGAUUGGCCAUAACGGGAAUAUAAAUACUGGAUAAAUUGGAAAUUCUUGAAAAAAAGGGGAAGAGAAUGAAUGGAAAGAAACGCAGAACAAAAUCUGCGGGCGAGGGACAUUAUAUUUGAUAAUGAAGUGGGGAUACAUUAGCGACCCCUGCCCUAAUCCCAGCUUCUCAUGAUGAGCCUUUUAAAAAAGGGGGAAGACAUUCCCAAGCUCCAUGAGUUCCCCCC